CUCAAUCCCCCGGGUUUCCGGGAAGAUUGGACUUGGGUGUCUGCCGUUUCACACGGCUCGCCUUAAAUGACUUGGUGGACGAAUUGAUGUAAAUCAAGAGUAAUAAGUUUCUCUCGAUGAAAUCGGUUUACCGCUCAUAACCUGCUUCGGCACUUUAUGACUCUGACCUCAAAUCAGGUAGGACUACCCGCUGAACUUAA
rnacentral:misc_RNA from 1 species